UGCCUAUACUGCAAGUCGAGCGGACAGAUGGGAGCUUGCUCCCUGAUGUUAGCGGCGGACGGGUGAGUAACACGUGGGUAACCUGCCUGUAAGACUGGGAUAACUCCGGGAAACCGGGGCUAAUACCGGAUGGUUGUUUGAACCGCAUGGUUCAGACAUAAAAGGUGGCUUCGGCUACCACUUACAGAUGGACCCGCGGCGCAUUAGCUAGUUGGUGAGGUAACGGCUCACCAAGGCGACGAUGCGUAGCCGACCUGAGAGGGUGAUCGGCCACACUGGGACUGAGACACGGCCCAGACUCCUACGGGAGGCAGCAGUAGGGAAUCUUCCGCAAUGGACGAAAGUCUGACGGAGCAACGCCGCGUGAGUGAUGAAGGUUUUCGGAUCGUAAAGCUCUGUUGUUAGGGAAGAACAAGUGCCGUUCAAAUAGGGCGGCACCUUGACGGUACCUAACCAGAAAGCCACGGCUAACUACGUGCCAGCAGCCGCGGUAAUACGUAGGUGGCAAGCGUUGUCCGGAAUUAUUGGGCGUAAAGGGCUCGCAGGCGGUUUCUUAAGUCUGAUGUGAAAGCCCCCGGCUCAACCGGGGAGGGUCAUUGGAAACUGGGGAACUUGAGUGCAGAAGAGGAGAGUGGAAUUCCACGUGUAGCGGUGAAAUGCGUAGAGAUGUGGAGGAACACCAGUGGCGAAGGCGACUCUCUGGUCUGUAACUGACGCUGAGGAGCGAAAGCGUGGGGAGCGAACAGGAUUAGAUACCCUGGUAGUCCACGCCGUAAACGAUGAGUGCUAAGUGUUAGGGGGUUUCCGCCCCUUAGUGCUGCAGCUAACGCAUUAAGCACUCCGCCUGGGGAGUACGGUCGCAAGACUGAAACUCAAAGGAAUUGACGGGGGCCCGCACAAGCGGUGGAGCAUGUGGUUUAAUUCGAANNAACGCGAAGAACCUUACCAGGUCUUGACAUCCUCUGACAAUCCUAGAGAUAGGACGUCCCCUUCGGGGGCAGAGUGACAGGUGGUGCAUGGUUGUCGUCAGCUCGUGUCGUGAGAUGUUGGGUUAAGUCCCGCAACGAGCGCAACCCUUGAUCUUAGUUGCCAGCAUUCAGUUGGGCACUCUAAGGUGACUGCCGGUGACAAACCGGAGGAA
rnacentral:rRNA from 1 species